rnacentral:tRNA from 1 species
GCCGGCAUAGCUCAGUUGGUUAGAGCAACUGUUUUGUAAACAGUAGGUCGUGGGUUCGAAUCCCUCUGCCGGCUCCA